CGUCUGAAAUAGCCAAUUUUGCAAUAAAAUUGCGCAGAAUCGUGACAUUCGGAUUACGUCAUUCCAGUUUGAACAUGGAACAAACGGAAUAAACAAUGAGGCUGCUUUCCUAAAUGUCCUGACUGUUUCUGGGCACUACCUGGUUUCCUCUUGCGGAAGAGUACAUGGGAAUGUGCCGGAACAACGGCAAAUCUCCACCGAAAAAAAAGAAAA